GGCACUUGCCAGGCUCUGAGCUGGGCUACAUACUCUGUGCUGAAGUGUCUCAUCCAGGACAGUGGGCAGGAGCAG
rnacentral:miRNA from 1 species